AUUUAUAUAAUUUAAUUAGAAUAUUGCAUUGAAGCUGCAAAAGUGAGUACCCACUCUGUAAAUG
rnacentral:tRNA from 1 species